GCGGGCAUAGUUCAAUUGGUAGAACGCUUCCUUGCCAAGGAAGAGGUUUACGGGUUCGACUCCCGUUGCCCGCUCUA
rnacentral:tRNA from 1 species